rnacentral:rRNA from 1 species
UCAAUGGAGAGUUUGAUCCUGGCUCAGGACGAACGCUGGCGGCGUGCCUAACACAUGCAAGUCGAGCGGUAAGGCUCCUCCGGGAGUACACGAGCGGCGAACGGGUGAGUAACACGUGAGCAAUCUGCCCUUCACAUUGGGAUAACCCCGGGAAACCGGGGCUAAUACCGGAUAUGACCACAAACGGCAUCGUUAGUGGUGGAAAGUUCCGGCGGUGAGGGAUGAGCUCGCGGCCUAUCAGCUUGUUGGUGGGGUAAUGGCCCACCAAGGCUUCGACGGGUAGCCGGCCUGAGAGGGUGACCGGCCACACUGGGACUGAGACACGGCCCAGACUCCUACGGGAGGCAGCAGUGGGGAAUAUUGGACAAUGGGCGAAAGCCUGAUGCAGCAACGCCGCGUGCGGGAUGACGGCCUUCGGGUUGUAAACCGCUUUCAGUAGGGACGAAGCGAAAGUGACGGUACCUGCAAAAGAAGCACCGGCCAACUACGUGCCAGCAGCCGCGGUAAUACGUAGGGUGCAAGCGUUGUCCGGAAUUAUUGGGCGUAAAGGGCUCGUAGGCGGUC